AUUGCACGCUGGCGGCGUGCCUACUACAUGCAAGUCGAGCGAAGCGGGGACGGGUGAGUAACACGUGGAUAACCUCCUAUAAGACUGGGAUAACUUCGGGACACCGGAGCUACACCGGAUCCUUAUAGAUGGAUCCGCGCUGCAUUAGCUAGUUGGGAAGGUAACGGCUUACCAAGGCAACGAUGCCUAGCCGACCUGAGAGGGUGAUCGGCCACACUGGAACUGAGACCCGGUCCAGACUCCUACGGGAGGCAGCAGUAGGGAAUCUUCCGCAAUGGGCGAAAGCCUGACGGAGCAACGCCGCGUGAGGGAUGAAGGUCUGCGGAUCGUAAAACUCUUUUAUUAGGGAAGCGGAACCUAAUCAGAAAGCCACGGCUAACGACGUGCCAGCAGCCGCGGUGAUAC
rnacentral:rRNA from 1 species